rnacentral:rRNA from 1 species
AUUGAACGCUGGCGGCAUGCCUUACACAUGCAAGUCGAACGGUAACGGGUCCUUCGGGAUGCCGACGAGUGGCGAACGGGUGAGUAAUAUAUCGGAACGUGCCCAGUAGUGGGGGAUAACUGCUCGAAAGAGCAGCUAAUACCGCAUACGACCUGAGGGUGAAAGGGGGGGAUCGCAAGACCUCUCGCUAUUGGAGCGGCCGAUAUCAGAUUAGCUAGUUGGGGGGGUAAAGGCCUACCAAGGCAACGAUCUGUAGUUGGUCUGAGAGGACGACCAGCCACACUGGGACUGAGACACGGCCCAGACUCCUACGGGAGGCAGCAGUGGGGAAUUUUGGACAAUGGGCGCAAGCCUGAUCCAGCAAUGCCGCGUGCAGGAAGAAGGCCUUCGGGUUGUAAACUGCUUUUGUCAGGGAAGAAAUCUUCUGGGCUAUACCCCGGGAGGAUGACGGUACCUGAAGAAUAAGCACCGGCUAACUACGUGCCAGCCGCCGCAGUAA